CCCCAGGCUACUCCUUUCAGGAGCUCAGAAAGAGCUGGAGAGACUUGGGUCACAGAAGAGGAUCUAGGAG
rnacentral:pre_miRNA from 1 species